rnacentral:rRNA from 1 species
UGCGGUGACCAGAGCGGCAGGGUCACACCCGUUCCCAUUCCGAACACGGAAGUUAAGCCUGCCAGCGCCGAUGGUACUUGGGGGGAGGCCCCCUGGGAGAGUAGGGCGUCGCCGCAA